UUAACAUUCAGAAGAGAGCUGAUGUUUUGAACAAACAAGAGGCUGCUUCAGGCUCCGAUUAAUGAUUCUGGGGCUCAUGAGUCAUUGUGCUCAAGUCGUGGCGAUGGAUGCUUCUACUCUGCCUUGCAGGAGGGAAUCAGAGGCUGCACUCUGACCUGACAUGCACACAGUUCAAGUGCCUCUUUCUUGCCAGGGCAGCCUUAUCAGAUCGAAGGCUGAGCAGCAAAACCCACCGCUGACAACAUUCUCCAGCCUUCAUAUCGGUGUGCUGUCAAAAUUGCUGUAACAAAAGCUACUGAGAUGGACAAGAAAUACUGCUGUUAGAAGCCUGAAACACUCUUGGGUGUUCAUGUUCCGCUAGACAAGUUUGAAAAAGGUGGGGUGAAGGAGCACUGCGAACAGAGGAAAUAUUUGCACCUCGGGAGGUUGCAUGGAGAGAAAGAAGGAAUCGAGUGCACAAAAGAGGGCUUUGUAUUUAGCUUCUAGGACUGGGUCUGUGCAAUUUGAUUGCAACGCUGGAUCUGAAAGCAGGUGCAUAGUACCUAAGAAAUUGCUUAAUACUGUCAAGCAUGAUAGCACCAGUCACCUCUUUGGAGUGGUAAGUCUGAACUGAAGCACUUUUUACACCCUGGUGGUCAUAGCUGUCCUGGAUGCCAUCCAAAACGUGAUUGCUCAUAAGUCAUGGGAACAUAGCUAGUCUGCAAUGAGCAAAUGGGUUCAGAUUGGUUGAGAAACAAGCAGGGGCCAAGGUGACAUUGCAGGUGUCCUAAAA